rnacentral:rRNA from 1 species
ACGAACGCUGGCGGCGUGCUUAACACAUGCAAGUCGUACGGUAAGGCCCUUUCGGGGGUCCACGAGUGGCGAACGGGUGAGUAACACGUGAGUAACCUGCCCACAACUUUGGGAUAACGCUAGGAAACUGGUGCUAAUACUGGAUAUGUGCUCCUGCUGCAUGGUGGGGGUUGGAAAGCUCCGGCGGUUGUGGAUGGACUCGCGGCCUAUCAGCUUGUUGGUGGGGUAGUGGCCUACCAAGGCGGCGACGGGUAGCCGCCCUGAGAGGGUGACCGGCCACAUUGGGACUGAGAUACGGCCCAGACUCCUACGGGAGGCAGCAGUGGGGAAUAUUGCACAAUGGGCGCAAGCCUGAUGCAGCAACGCCGCGUGCGGGAUGACGGCCUUCGGGUUGUAAACCGCUUUCAGCAGGGACGAAGCUUUUUGUGACGGUACCUGCAGAAGAAGCACCGGCUAACUACGUG